UUAUAAUAACUUAGCAAAUCGCAAAGUGAAAACAGGCGAUAAAUCAUUCAAGUUUCUGACCUAUCAGCUUUCGACGGUAUGGUAUUGGCUUACCGUGGCAGUGACGGUUAACGGGGGAUUAGGGUUCGAUUCCGGAGAGGGAGCCUGAAAAACGGCUACCACAUCUAAGGAAGGCAGCAGGCGCGCAAAUUACCCAAUUCUAACAGUUUGAGAGAGGUAGUAACAAGAAAUAACAAUACAAGGCAGUUAAAAUGCUUUGUAAUUGGAAUGAUAGAAAUUUAAACCCUUUUUAAAGUAUCAAUUGGAGGGCAAGUCUGGUGCCAGCAGCCGCGGUAAUUCCAGCUCCAAUAGCGUAUAUUAAAAUUGUUGCAGUUAAAAAGCUCGUAGUUGAAGUUCUGCUGAAAGUAACCGGUCUGCUUUUAAUAAAAGUGGUAUCUUGGUAUGUAUUUAGCAAUGAUGUCCUUUGAAGUGUUUUUUACUUUAUUGUAAUAAAGCAUAUUCAGGACUUUUACUUUGAAAAAAUUAAAGUGUUUCUAGCAGGCUAACGCUUUGAAUACUGCAGCAUGG
rnacentral:rRNA from 1 species